AUACGGAGGGUGCAAGCGUUACUCGGAAUCACUGGGCGUAAAGCGCGCGCAGGCGGCUUGAUAAGUUGGAUGUGAAAGCCUACGGCUCAACCGUAGAACUGCAUCCAAAACUGUCAAGCUAGAGUCUGGGAGGGGAAGAUGGAAUUAGUUGUGUAGGGGUAAAAUCCGUAGAGAUAACUAGGAAUACCAAAAGCGAAGGCGAUCUUCUGGAACAGUACUGACGCUGAGGCGCGAAAGCGUGGGGAGCAAACAGAAUUAGAAACCCCAGUAGUCC
rnacentral:rRNA from 1 species